AUUGAACGCUGGCGGCAGGCCUAACACAUGCAAGUCGAGCGGUAACAGGGGAAGCUUGCUUUCUCGCUGACGAGCGGCGGACGGGUGAGUAAUGUAUGGGGAUCUGCCCGAUAGAGGGGGAUAACCACUGGAAACGGUGGCUAAUACCGCAUAAUCUCUUAGGAGCAAAGCAGGGGAACUUCGGUCCUUGCGCUAUCGGAUGAACCCAUAUGGGAUUAGCUAGUAGGUGGGGUAAUGGGCUCACCUAGGGCGACGAUCCCCUAGCUGGGUCUGAGAGGAUGAUCAGCCACACUGGGGACUGAGACACGGGGCCCAGGACUCCUACGGGGAGGGCAGCAGUGGGGGGAAUAUUGCACAAAUGGGGCNCAAGCCCUUGAAUGCAGCCCAUGCCGCGUGUAUGAAGAAGGCCCUAGGGUU
rnacentral:rRNA from 1 species